UUUCUCUUCUCUCUUACUGCCUUGUUCAAUACUCUGCCCUUGACAGUAUUUCUUUCCAACGUCUGUUUCACUGAAUAGCCUUUAGACAGUUAUGGUACUUUUUAAAUACCAGAUUGAAAACCAACAAAGAUAACAGAUAGAAAUCAUAUAUAAUGGCAAGAGAACAGAAUUAGUGGAAGUGUUAUAACAAAAACAGUAUGUAGAAGAAAAAAUAUUAAUCAGAAUUAGUUGAAAUCUCCUGUAAUGAUAUAUAUUCAAUAUGUAACUGGUAAGAGUAUCUCUAGCCUGUAUCACUAUACAUUUGGUUCAACUGAGAAAAUCACUAUGUAAAUAGAAAGAGCACAGAAGCACUCCAAGGCCCCUAUAACAAUGGGAAAUUCUUUAUUUAAAUGAUGGAAUUAACAUCAGCCUGAGGCUUUCCUGUGAAUUUCUGAUGUAAAGCUGCAAUUUGCAUAUCUAUCUGGAAAGAGAACCCUGACAUCUAAAGCAACAGCCCCACUCUCACUUUGCCCAUCUUGGAAAACAGAGUUUUGGACUCCUCAUUAUCUAUUGCUACUUGCAAAAGAAAGCUUGGAAUCUCCGGGAACAUCAGUUCAGUGUUCUGCAACAGUCAAAAAGGCAAAAACACUAUUAAGAUGCUUUAAGGUAAAACAAAGUAAUAUAAUAAUAC
rnacentral:lncRNA from 1 species